rnacentral:rRNA from 1 species
UCANUAAGCGGAGGAAAAGAAACUAACAAGGAUUCCCCUAGUAACGGCGAGUGAAGCGGGAAGAGCUCAAAUUUGUAAUCUGGCACUUUCAGUGUCCGAGUUGUAAUCUCGAGAAGUAUUUUCCGCGCCGGAMUGCAUACAAGUCUGUUGGAAUACAGCGUCAUAGUGGUGAGAACCCCGUAACUGAUGCAGAUGCCCGGUGCUUUGUGAUAUACUUUCGAAGAGUCGAGUUGUUUGGGAAUGCAGCUCAAAUUGGGUGGUAAAUUCCAUCUAAAGCUAAAUAUUGGAGCAAGACCGAUAGCGAACAAGUACCGUGAGGGAAAGAUGAAAAGCACUUUGGAAAGAGAGUUAACAGUACGUGAAAUUGUUGGAAGGGAAACGCUUGAAGUCAGACUUGCUAUUCGGAGUUCAGCCGCAAGGUGUAUUCUUCGAUUUGCAGGCCAGCAUCAGUUUUCGGGGGUGGAAAAUCGUGGUUUGAAGGUAGCAACUUCGGUUGUGUUAUAGCUUUCCACUGGAUUCAUCUUUGGGGACUGAGGAACGCAGUACGCUUUUUGCAAGGCCCUCGGGCUUUUCGUACUUANGAUGCUGGUGGAAUGGCUUUAAACGAC